AAACCAACAGGGAUUGCCCUAGUAACGGCGAGUGAAGCGGCAACAGCUCAAAUUUGAAAUCUGGCCCUCGGGUCCGAGUUGUAAUUUGUAGAGGAUGCUUUUGGCGCGGUGCCUUCCGAGUUCCCUGGAACGGGACGCCUUAGAGGGUGAGAGCCCCGUACGGUUGGACACUAAGCCUCUGUAAAGCUCCUUCGACGAGUCGAGUAGUUUGGGAAUGCUGCUCUAAAUGGGAGGUAAAUUUCUUCUAAAGCUAAAUAUUGGCCAGAGACCGAUAGCGCACAAGUAGAGUGAUCGAAAGAUGAAAAGCACUUUGAAAAGAGGGUUAAAUAGCACGUGAAAUUGUUGAAAGGGAAGCGUUUGCGACCAGACCUUUUCCUGGCGGAUCAUCCGGUGUUCUCACCGGUGCACUUCGCCAGGUUGAGGCCAGCAUCGGUUUUCGCAGGGGGAUAAAAGCCCGGGGAACGUAGCUCCUCCGGGAGUGUUAUAGCCCCUCGCAUAAUACCCUUGCGGGGACCGAGGACCGCGCUUUUUGGCAAGGAUGCUGGCGUAAUGGUCGUCAACGAC
rnacentral:rRNA from 1 species